UACGUAGGGUGCAAGCGUUAUCCGGAAUUAUUGGGCGUAAAGGAGCUCGUUAGGCGGUUUGUCGCGUCUGCUGUGAAAACUGGGGGCUCAACCCCCAGCCUGCAGUGGGUACGGGCAGACUAGAGUGCGGUAGGGGAGAUUGGAAUUCCUGGUGUAGCGGUGGAAUGUGCAGAUAUCAGGAGGAACACCGAUGGCGAAGGCAGAUCUCUGGGCCGUGAACUGACGCGUGGAGGAGCGAAAGCAUGGGGAGCGAACAGG
rnacentral:rRNA from 1 species